UACGAGGGGUGCAAGCGUUAUUCGGCAUUAUUGGGCGUAAAGGGUGUGUAGACGGCUUAUUAAGUCAAUUGUUUAAUUCUCCGGCCUAACCGGAGGUCAGCGGUAGAUACUGGUAAGCUAGAGUGUGGAAGAGAGAAGUGGAAUUCUCGGAGUAGCGGUAAAAUGCGUAGAUCUCGAGAGGAACACCGAUGGCGAAGGCAGCUUCUUGGUCCAUUUCUGACGUUGAGACACGAAAGCGUGGGGAGCAAACAGG
rnacentral:rRNA from 1 species